GAUGAAGAACGUAGCGAAAUGCGAUAAGUAAUGUGAAUUGCAGAAUUCAGUGAAUCAUCGAAUCUUUGAACGCACAUUGCGCCCGCUGGUAUUCCGGCGGGCAUGCCUGUUCGAGCGUUAUUUCAACCCUCAAGCUCUCCGGAGUUUGGUGUUGGGGCGCCUGGGGCUUUUCGACCUCAGGGCCCUCAAGUCCAUCGGCGGGACCGCCAGGACACUGAGCGCAGUAGUAUUAUUUCGCUCGGUAGGAUCUUCCACGGCGGGUCGAUCUGGCCGCUAAACCCCCCAAUUCUCACCAAAGGUUGACCUCGGAUCAGGUAGGAAUACCCGCUGAACUUAAGCAUAUCAAUAAGCGGAGGA
rnacentral:misc_RNA from 1 species